rnacentral:rRNA from 1 species
UACGUAGGGGGCAAGCGUUGUCCGGAAUCAUUGGGCGUAAAGAGCGUGUAGGCGGUUCGGUAAGUCCGCUGUGAAAGUCCAGGGCUCAACCCUGGAAUGCCGGUGGAUACUGCCGGGCUAGAGUCCGGAAGAGGCGAGUGGAAUUCCUGGUGUAGCGGUGAAAUGCGCAGAUAUCAGGAGGAACACCGAUGGCGAAGGCAGCCCGCUGGGACGGUACUGACGCUGAGACGCGAAAGCGUGGGGAGCAAACAGG